rnacentral:rRNA from 1 species
GACGAACGCUGGCGGCGUGCUUAACACAUGCAAGCCGAACGGAAAGGCCCUGGUUUUGUGGGGUGCUCGAGUGGCGAACGGGUGAGUAACACGGGUGUAACCCGCCCUUGAUUUUGGGAUAACUUCAGGAAACUGGGGCUAAUACCGGAUAGGAGCUCCUGCGGCACGGUGGGGUUGGAAAGUUUCGGCGGUUGGGGAUGGACGCGCUGCUACCCAGCUUGUUGUUGGGGGAGUGGCUUACCAAGGCUUUGAGGGGUAGCCGGCCUGAGAGGGUGACCGGCCACAUUGCUGCUGAGGUACGGCCCCGACCCCUACGGGAGGCAGCAGGAGCGAAUAUUACACACAGGGCGGGGGCACGAUGCAGCACCGCGGCGGUCGGGAUGAUGACCUUCGCGUUGUAAACCGCUUUGGCCUGUAACGAGUCGUGAGUGACGGUAGUGUGUAAGGAGGCACCGGGUAACUACGUG